UACGUAGGGUGCGAGCGUUAAUCGGAAUUACUGGGCGUAAAGCGUGCGCAGGCGGUGAUGUAAGUCAGGGGUGAAAUCCCCGGGCUUAACCUGGGAACUGCAUUUGUGACUGCAUCGCUGGAGUGCGGCAGAGGGGGAUGGAAUUCCGCGUGUAGCAGUGAAAUGCGUAGAUAUGCGGAGGAACACCGAUGGCGAAGGCAAUCCCCUGGGCCUGCACUGACGCUCAUGCACGAAAGCGUGGGGAGCAAACAGG
rnacentral:rRNA from 1 species